GAUGUUUUCUUGGGCAGCUGCAUAUGAUCCCUUAGACCCCAAUGGGAACAUAACAAUCAAAUGGGAUAUAAUGUCUUCGACCCCAGAUAGCUAUGUGG